rnacentral:rRNA from 1 species
UCCGAUUCCUACGGGAGGCAGCAGUGGGGAAUUUUCCGCAAUGGGCGAAAGCCUGAUCCAGCCAUGCCGCGUGUGUGAAGAAGGUCUUCGGAUUGUAAAGCACUUUAAGUUGGGAGGAAGGGCAUUAACCUAAUACGUUAGUGUUUUGACGUUACCGACAGAAUAAGCACCGGCUAACUUCGUGCCAGCAGCCGCGGUAAUACGAAGGGUGCAAGCGUUAAUCGGAAUUACUGGGCGUAAAGCGCGCGUAGGUGGUUCGUUAAGUUGGAUGUGAAAGCCCCGGGCUCAACCUGGGAACUGCAUCCAAAACUGGCGAGCUAGAGUACGGUAGAGGGUGGUGGAAUUUCCUGUGUAGCGGUGAAAUGCGUAGAUAUAGGAAGGAACACCAGUGGCGAAGGCGACCACCUGGACUGAUACUGACACUGAGGUGCGAAAGCGUGGGGGGCAAACAGGAUUAGAUACCCUGGUAGUCCACGCCGUAAACGAUGUCAACUAGCCGUUGGGUUCCUUGAGAACUUAGUGGCGCAGCUAACGCAUUAAGUUGACCGCCUGGGGAGUACGGCCGCAAGGUUAAAACUCAAAUGAAUUGACGGGGGCCCGCACAAGCGGUGGAGCAUGUGGUUUAAUUCGAAGCAACGCGAAGAACCUUACCUGGCCUUGACAUGCUGAGAACUUUCCAGAGAUGGAUUGGUGCCUUCGGGAACUCAGACACAGGUGCUGCAUGGCUGUCGUCAGCUCGUGUCGUGAGAUGUUGGGUUAAGUCCCGUAACGAGCGCAACCCUUGUCCUUAGUUACCAGCACGUAAUGGCGGGCACUCUAAGGAGACUGCCGGUGACAAACCGGAGGAAGGUGGGGAUGACGUCAAGUCAUCAUGCCCCUUACGGCCAGGGCUACACACGUGCUACAAUGGUCGGUACAAAGGGUUGCCAAGCCGCGAGGUGGAGCUAAUCCCAUAAAACCGAUCGUAGUCCGGAUCGCAGUCUGCAACUCAACUGCGUGAAGUCGGAAUCGCUAGUAAUCGUGAAUCAGAAUGUCACGGUGAAUACGUUCCCGGGCCUUGUACACACC